rnacentral:rRNA from 1 species
GAAAUGUUGGGUUAAGUCCCGCAACGAGCGCAACCCUUAUCCUUUGUUGCCAGCGGUUAGGCCGGGAACUCAAAGGAGACUGCCAGUGAUAAACUGGAGGAAGGUGGGGAUGACGUCAAGUCAUCAUGGCCCUUACGACCAGGGCUACACACGUGCUACAAUGGCGCAUACAAAGAGAAGCGACCUCGCGAGAGCAAGCGGACCUCAUAAAGUGCGUCGUAGUCCGGAUUGGAGUCUGCAACUCGACUCCAUGAAGUCGGAAUCGCUAGUAAUCGUGGAUCAGAAUGCCACGGUGAAUACGUUCCCGGGCCUUGUACACACCGCCCGUCACACCAUGGGAGUGGGUUGCAAAAGAAGUAGGUAGCUUAACCUUCGGGAGGGCGCUUACCACUUUGUGAUUCAUGACUGGGGUGAAGUCGUAACAAGGUAACCGUAGGGGAACCUGCGGUUGGAUCACCUCCUUACCUUAAAGAAGC